rnacentral:lncRNA from 1 species
GUCCUGCAAGAACGGGUUAGGAACACCCUGGGGCCCGGAGAGGCGCCUGACCCCGCGAAGGCGUGAACGAAGCUGAGACCGCGCCCGGCCGCGCCGGGGUCGGCGGAAAGCACUCUGGGAUUUGCGGCCUGGUUGCGGUGGCACUUCCUCCUUCGCAUCACCUAGCGCGGUGGUUUUCAAUCUAGGCUGCAGAUACAUUUAAAAGAGAUUUCCCGCCCUUAAACAGAGUCCUGGGUUAAUUUAGCCGAGAAGCGCAUUCGUUUUCCCUCCGGGCGGGUUUGUGCAGUGCGUCAUUCCGGCCAGCAGGAGGCAGCAGCACCCAAGGAGCUGCGUGAGGGCUCGCGCGGGGCUGCUCGAAACCUGGGGCCGCGCACCGCGCCCGAGCCGCCUCUGGGCUUCGAAAGCGCGGUGUUUUGUGGGUCUCGUGCCCGGCUGCGGCCGCAAAGCCUGGCCCGUGAGUCCCAGGAGAGCAUGCGGGGUGCAGGCGACGUCGGGCCGACACAGCUGCACCUACCCGAGUGCGGCGGCGGCGGCUCGCUCGUCCGAAAGCGCGGCCCUUCCGGCCGAGUCUUCCUAGCUCAGGACCCGGCACACUGACGCGGCGAGGGGGCUGCAUCCCGCUGCUGACUGGGUCCCGGCCGGCGGUUGUCCGGUGCACGCCGCGGUGAGUUGCUGACCCGAAGUCGCUGCAAUGGGCUGUUGGCCGGCAGUGCUGCUCUUCCCAGGGCCAGCGAGACCCGGGAGGUGACCCAGCUCGGCUGCCUUCCGGGCCGCGGGCACGGCCUGCUAAGCUGGUGGAUGAGCCCACACCGGGAAAGGCUGGCGUACCGCCACGACGGCGACUUGGAUCUUGGCUCGACUCCUUCCAGGCUCACUGGAUGACCCGUGCGGACAGUGAAGUGACAAGAGCAGGCCACCUUGCUAACUAAGGCCACGGGCAUGUGCUGCAUCCACACUGAAGGAUGCUCCCGCUGGCCUCAGCCACAUUACAACCUGAGGGGUGGCGAGCCUUGCAGGCCCGGGGCUCCUCCCUAUGUGUGCAGUAAGCUGGUUUCUCGAGAAGCACACCUCCGAGCAGCGCCGUGCAACAGAAACGGCAUGCAAGCCAGUGUGCAUCUGAAAUCCUCUACUGGCCAUGUUGAAAAAGCAGUAGGUGCAGGCGAAAUGAGUUUUAAUAAGUUUUAUUGAACCCACAUACCCUCAGUAGUAUCAUUUAACAUGAAACCAAACUUUAAAACAUGACUGGAAGGGUCUGAAAUGUGGCACGCACGUCACACUCAGGGGUCUUCCAAUCCGGAGUGUGACACCGAAGUUAAGUGUCUGGAGGUCACACCUGGCUGGUGGCCAUGGUACUGGGCAGUGUUGGUGCAGGGAACUCAAAACAGAGAACCCCAAGUAGACCUGGGCAUUCACCAGAAAGUAACAGGGAGAAUCACGGAAAUGACUACAAGAUGCCACGGCGUUAACCUAAAGACCAAAAUAUCUGCAGAGAGCUGGUCUGGGAAAAGGCUUAAAUGAAAACAAGGUUAAAUUUCGAUUCAAAUAGGCUCUGUUACACAAGAGUAAAACUCACUUAAGGUGGCCCAGGACGUCCUGUGGAGCCAAGAGGUGGCAAGUUCUGGCUCACAUGUUGCUUCUGCAGGUCUAUAGGAUGGGGCUCUGGAGUGAUGAGCCAGGUCUUCCAAAAUCCAUGAAUGACGCAUCUUACCAGCGAUUGCAGACAGCUUUCUGGCAUCCAGACUUUGCACUGUGCUCACCUCUGACGUCCUGUGCACCCCUCGUCCUUGGCCAGUCUGUCCCCCCAGGCAGACACAGAGUGCUCUGCUUGGGACUCACUAAACAGACUCCGUGCACGCCUCUGAGGAGCGGACAGCCCUGCACAGCGAUGGUGGAGCUCUUGCUCAGUGCUGCAUGCCUGGACCUCGAGCCGUGAUCAGCAGUCAGAAGAGCAGCCAUGCUGUGCUGGGUGCUGCCCUGAAGGGCUGUGAAGGGAGGACCUCAGGAGGCUCAGAUUCCUCGCUCUCAGCUCUGAAUUGAAUGACAAAGCCAGAAACUCCCCGCCACCUGCUGGGUCUCCAAAGUUCUCAGUGGCAUCCUGUCUUUCCGUGUGUUUAUCCCUGCAGAGUCUACUCCGCCCCAUCUGAGCUGAGCCACCCUGUAUGCGAGAGAGUGAUGGACAGCCACACCCAGAGAAGCAAGGGAGAUGGAGCCUGCAGUGAGGGACUAAGAAGAGAAGCAGGAGGCAGUGUGCAGUGACACCUCGCUUCGUGGAUGCUUCCGUCUGUAAACACUUUGCUUUGCAAACAGAACUGACUGGCAAAAUUUUGCUUAUGUUCUCGAACUCCUCAUAGGUGCCAAACAUGACCAUGGCCAUUUUCUGCUCUGACACAUGGUCGUGGCUUCCUCUAGUCGAGAUCGCAGUCACAGAUAGACCUGUGCACACUUGCUGUGAGGCUUUUGUGUGUUUUAGCACAUACAGUACUCUACAGUGUUAUUCAGUCCAGCAUGGCUCCAAAGAAACUGCAGAGGUAAAAAGAGAGUGCAGAGCAAUAAUGAAGGUAACAAGAAAGUGCAGAGCAAGAAUGGCAAGAAGGUUUUGAAGAAAUAACCAUUGAGUUGAAGGACGCUGUGGACAAGCAUGAGCAUGGUAUCCUUAUGACUGAUCUGGCCUCAGAGCACACGAUGGCGAAGUCCACAGCCUCGACUGUCUUGAAGAAUAAAAACACCAUCAAAGGAGCUGACGUGGCCAAAGGAGUAAUGAUGUUAACCAAGUAGAGGACACAAGUGCUGGAAGAGGUGGAAAAGCUUUUGUCAGUGUGGCUGAGUGAGAAUCAGCUGGCAGGUGAUAGUGUUAGGAAGCUAUGGUCUGUGAAAAGCCAGGAAAUUGCACAGCGGUCUACUGUAAGAAAUCCCUCUACACCUCUACAAGUGCAACAGGUGAGGGAUCUAGAGCCUGUAGAGGGUGGUUUGAUAAAUUCUGCAAGGGAAGUGUCUGUGAUAAGACAUGGUGAGGCUUCUGGUUCUGACAAGGCCUCCACAGAAGCCUACAGGAAAGAAUUCGCAGAACUCAUGAAGACAGAAGGAUAUGUCAAGCAACAAGUGUUUAACUCUGAUGAAACAGGGCUUUUGUGGAAGAAGAUGCUGAGCAGAACCUAUGACAUACAGGAGGAAAAGGCACCGCUGGGGCACAAGCCCAUGAAGGACAGACUGACCCUUGUGCCUGUGCGAAUGCAAGCCCCAAUCUGAAGAUUAGGCCACUACUGGUGCACCAUCCCCAGACCCCUCGGCAUUCAAGGGACAGUGUGGACAAGGCCAGGCUGCCUGUCGUGUGGAGGCUAGUGGCGAAGCCUGGGCCACAGGGCAACUGUUUAUGGAAGGGCUGCACAAGGUGUUCUCACCCACCAUUAAGCAAUAUCUUUCUGGCAACCAGCUGCCUGAAGGUGCCUCCUUCAGAUGGACAGAGCCCGGCAACCUCCAGCCUUGGCAGAUGACAUGGACGCUGAGUAUGACUUUAUGACGGUCAAGUUCCUCCCCUACACGACACCUCUUCUGCAGCCUUAGGCCAGCAAAUGACCCAUAACUUCAAGAAGCUGUGCACAGGGUGCUCUUCACCAGGUGUUUUAAUGUCACUGAAGAGACAUCCCUGACUGGAAGAAUUCCAGAAGAAACAUUUCUCCCCACCGCAUCAGGCUCCCUGACACAGCCUGAGAAGAUGUCACGUACCGGACCUUCAACUCAGCCUGGAGGACACCGGCCAGAACGCGUCACUGGGUGUGACUGUGAAGGGUCUGAGGCACAGGUGUGGAGGGAUUGUGCCCACGGGCAAGAGUGUGGGUCUGGACGCCGAUGGUGCAGACGUGGAGGGGACCAAAGGAGGAGCUGACGCGGGAAGCACUUGCUGAACCGCUGAGUGAGCAGCAGAAGGCGCCUGCCGAGGAGCCCUGCGCCGAGAGGGGGCUGGGAGGAGGCCGGCAGUGACGUGACAAACUUCACCCUGGAAAAUGGAACGAGGGCUGGUUCUUGAGAAGCCCCGCCCCGACAUGGCCUCUCAACACAGGCCCUCUCGUUCCCGGGGGUUGCGCAGCACAGGAAAAACACUGACAUUAGAGAGAUUUCUCCCGUCAACACCGACCCUGCAGCUAAGAGAGAAAGAAGAGGACUCCCCCGACGGAGGUCUCCCCAGUGCCUCAUGGAGGGGCCCACCCUCCAAAUAAUACCCUCCUUCCUGUCCUGCGCGCCAGGAGUCUCCAAGCAAGUGCCUUCAGGGCCCCAGUGACGCCGUGGUGACCACGUGCCUGUAACAGGUAACCCCUGGCUCCACGUCACCCACGCCCACUUGCACAGCUGCUCAGCGCCCUCCUGUGCCCGCGUGCCUCCACACUCCCCCGUGUCCCCAUGGCCUCUUAUGCCUCCGUGUCACCCGUCAGCUGCCUGCACAGUCCUUGCACGCCUCUGACUCCCUCCGGUGCUUUUAUUUACCUCCAGAGCCUUGCUACACCCCUCGGUGCCUCACCACCCACUCCUUCACUUUCCUUCUCCCCAUUUCCAUUCCCAUCACCCUUGGGCUCUUAGAAGUCAGCCCUAGAAGGAAAAUCAGUAGGUCCCACACUUGGGCUCACCGGCUCGGUGGUGAAACCUCACGGCGUAUUCAUAACACCACCUGGAGCACAAGUCCUGGAGAAAGCACAAGUUCUGUAGCCAGCUAUGAAAACCCUACAGGACUCUUCUGAGAAGCAGACACCGGGAGAGUUAGCAUUUCAGAUUUCUUUAUGUCAGUUGCCAUGGUCUUCUACCACACGGCUCCAAGCUUCGUUCCCUACUAUGCCUCCAUGUGUCCUCCAGCUUUCCAAAAGCCUCCCGCCCUUCACGACUGCAGACCUCAGAGGUGCUGCCCCUUCUCACUGGCCACUUGGCUGGGCCGACCGCCAUCCUUGCCCCUGCCUGUGCACGCUCUCUUCAGUCACCAAGACUCAGCUCAGCUCCUCCCUCCUGCACAGGGCCUCCUGGUGAAUCUCCAUCCUGGGAACUACCAAUUUUGUUGGCUGUCUGGUACUCCCCUUUGGAAAACACCACAUCAUUCCUUGCGGUCUUGUUCCACAGAGUUCCUGAAGCUUCUGUGUCCUCAAUAAUUCUCGAGGGCUUAUGUUGUGACUCCUCAUUUAGCCCUAGGACACAGGGAGCAUAUCCCAGGUUCCCUCAGUCCCCUGUCCUGGUGCAGGGCCCUGUACACGGUAGGCGCACAAUAGGUAACUGUCAGUUUGAAUAAUGUUUUUUGUGUUUUAAUCUUUCUCCAGCUGGUGUUACCUGGCUGGGCUGGUGGCCAUGGGACUCAGUCAUCUGGAGGGCAGAGUGGUGCUCAAGGCCGCGGAGUGGUUAGAGCCCUCCAGAGUGAGCUCCAAGGGGAGGGAAGCGAGGGCUCCAGAGGGAACUGGAGCUGAGAAUGGGAACUGAGAGUCCCAGCUUGUGGCCUGAAGGACGAGGCCCUGGCUCUAACUCCCCCGUCCCUGUGGGCCUCAAUCCCUGACAGAGAGUUGAGGGGCUGAGUGUCAGACUCUCCACAGCAACUGCUGACUGACCGUGUUCCCAUCGAGUGACCUGAGUCUACAGGUUGCCUGGGUCCAGAGGCUUCUACAGUGUCACUCAGACCUCGACAAGCAAGUGGAAGGGAGUGAAGCCAUCACAGGAACAACUGCAAAUCUGCUCCCGUUCAUCAAGGGGGGAAUUCCUCCCUCGUUAUUCGUAGUCACAAAGCACGCAUGAUCCGUUCAUGGCUCCACAGCUAUGCCUUCACCAUGUCUGCCAGCUCUUCCAGGGUGCUGGCAUCACCAGGAUCGUCCGGAGGGCCCAGCCACAGAGCGUGUGAUUCUGCUACAUUCUCUCUGCGGCAUCUGAUGAAGAAUCUGCUGUCGGUUUGAGGACACUACCUGCUACUUCCCAGCCUCUUUUUGGGAUCAACUGGGGAUACUUCAGAUAAGACGCUUCAACUAACAUCGUUACAACAAGGCCUGGCACGUAACAAAUACCCAACACAUUUACUGAGAUGCCGCCCUGGGCUUAGAGAUUGGAAGCCGAGUGCUUACCCC